CAAGCGUCUGGGGUUAAGAGGUCGCUGCCAUUAGCCCCACUGAUGAGUCUCAAGGCAGUGACUCCAAGACGAAACGCUAC
rnacentral:hammerhead_ribozyme from 17 species